rnacentral:rRNA from 1 species
UACGAAGGGUGCGAGCGUUGGUCGGAAUUACUGGGCGUAAAGCGCACGUAGGCGGAUAUUUAAGUAAGGGGUGAAAUCCCGAAGCUCAACUGCGGAACUGCCUUUGAUACUGGGUAGCUCGAGUAUGGAAGAGGUGAGUGGAAUUCCGAGUGUAGAGGUGAAAUUCGUAGAGAUUAGGAGGAACACCAGUGGCGAAGGCGGCUCACUGGUCAAUUACUGACGCUGAGGUGCGAAAGCGUGGGGAGCAAACAGGAUUAGAUACCCCGGUAGUCC